AGUGAACGCUGGCGGUAGGCCUAACACAUGCAAGUCGAACGGCAGCACAGUAAGAGCUUGCUCUUACGGGUGGCGAGUGGCGGACGGGUGAGGAAUACAUCGGAAUCUACUUUUUCGUGGGGGAUAACGUAGGGAAACUUACGCUAAUACCGCAUACGACCUACGGGUGAAAGCAGGGGAUCUUCGGACCUUGCGCGAUUGAAUGAGCCGAUGUCGGAUUAGCUAGUUGGCGGGGUAAAGGCCCACCAAGGCGACGAUCCGUAGCUGGUCUGAGAGGAUGAUCAGCCACACUGGAACUGAGACACGGUCCAGACUCCUACGGGAGGCAGCAGUGGGGAAUAUUGGACAAUGGGCGAAAGCCUGAUCCAGCUAUACCGCGUGGGUGAAGAAGGCCUUCGGGUUGUAAAGCCCUUUUGUUGGGAAAGAAAAGCAGCAGGUUAAUACCCCGCUGUUCUGACGUUACCCAAAGAAUAAGCACCGGCUAACUUCGUG
rnacentral:rRNA from 1 species